GACGAACGCUGGCGGCGUGCCUAAUACAUGCAAGUAGAACGCACAGUUUAUACCGUAGCUUGCUACACCAUAGACUGUGAGUUGCGAACGGGUGAGUAACGCGUAGGUAACCUGCCUGGUAGCGGGGGAUAACUAUUGGAAACGAUAGCUAAUACCGCAUAAUAUUAAUUAUUGCAUGAUAAUUAAUUGAAAGGUGCAAUUGCACCACUACCAGAUGGACCUGCGUUGUAUUAGCUAGUAGGUGAGGUAACGGCUCACCUAGGCGACGAUACAUAGCCGACCUGAGAGGGUGAUCGGCCACACUGGGACGGAGACACGGCCCAGACUCCUACGGGAGGCAGCAGUAGGGAAUCUUCGGCAAUGGACGAAAGUCUGACCGAGCAACGCCGCGUGAGUGAAGAAGGUUGUCGGAUCGUAAAGCUCUGUUGUAAGAGAAGAACGGGUGUGGGAGUGGAAAGUUCACACUGUGACGGUAUCUGACCAGAAAGGGACGGCUAACUACGUG
rnacentral:rRNA from 1 species